rnacentral:rRNA from 1 species
GCGAAUGGCUCAUUAAAUCAGUUAUCGUUUAUUUGAUAGUACCUUACUACUUGGAUAACCGUGGUAAUUCUAGAGCUAAUACAUGCUGAAAACCCCAACUUCGGGAGGGGUGUAUUUAUUAGAUAAAAAACCAACGCCCUUCGGGGCUUCUUGGUGAUUCAUGAUAACUUAACGGAUCGCAUGGCCUUGCGCCGGCGACGGUUCAUUCAAAUUUCUGCCCUAUCAACUUUCGAUGGUAAGGUAUUGGCUUACCAUGGUUUCAACGGGUAACGGGGAAUUAGGGUUCGAUUCCGGAGAGGGAGCCUGAGAAACGGCUACCACAUCCAAGGAAGGCAGCAGGCGCGCAAAUUAUCCAAUCCCGACACGGGGAGAUAGUGACAAUAAAUACUGAUACAGGGCUCUUUUGGGUCUUGUAAUUGGAAUGAGUACAAUUUAAACCUCUUAACGAGGAACAAUUGGAGGGCAAGUCUGGUGCCAGCAGCCGCGGUAAUUCCAGCUCCAAUAGCGUAUAUUAAAGUUGUUGCAGUUAAAAAGCUCGUAGUUGAACCUUGGGUCUGGCUGGCAGGUCCGCCUCACCGCGUGUACUUGUCCGGCCGGGCCUUCCUUCUGGAGAACCUCAUGCCCUUCACUGGGCGUGUUGGGGACCAGGACUUUUACUUUGAAAAAAUUAGAGUGUUCAAAGCAGGCCUUUGCUCGAAUACGUUAGCAUGGAAUAAUAAAAUAGGACGUGCGGUCCUAUUUUGUUGGUUUCUAGGACCGCCGUAAUGAUUAAUAGGGACAGUCGGGGGCAUCAGUAUUCAAUUGUCAGAGGUGAAAUUCUUGGAUUUAUUGAAGACUAACUACUGCGAAAGCAUUUGCCAAGGAUGUUUUCAUUAAUCAGUGAACGAAAGUUAGGGGAUCGAAGACGAUCAGAUACCGUCGUAGUCUUAACCGUAAACUAUGCCGACUAGGGAUCGGGCGAUGUUCUUUUUCUGACUCGCUC